rnacentral:lncRNA from 1 species
GGCUACAGCAGAUGCUAAAAAACAGAGCCUCGGAGAAAGAAGGUGGCUAAUGGCCCCAGGAAAUCUGUCCCAUCAUCUGGGUCCCUCGAUGAAGCAUCCAAACUCAGCACAGAGAAAAUAAAUGUACAAUGGGGAGAGAAAUCAUUCUCUGUACCACCAUCACCAUGAAGGUUACCAUCAGCACACACUCAAGGAAGAAAACAGGCCUGAAUCCAAAGAAGAUGCAGCUUAAGAUCACUGAACUAUGAAGACAAAUAUCUGAAUGUUUAAACACAUAAAGAAUUUCCCCCUUUCAAUCCACACAUAGCCUCAUGCUGUCAAGAACUUCGCAGGACUCCUUAUUAAGAGCUGACAGGCUUUGCUUGCAAGCAGGCUUCCCCCAUCUCUAGCAA